rfam:Pteropus alecto contig51486, whole genome shotgun sequence.
GGUUCCAUAGUGUAGUGGUUAGCACAUCUGCUUUAUACACAGAAAGUUCUGGGUUCACACCCCAGUGGAGCCA